rnacentral:rRNA from 1 species
AUUGAACGCUGGCGGCAGGCUUAACACAUGCAAGUCGAGCGGAGAGAGGUAGCUUGCUACUGAUCUUAGCGGCGGACGGGUGAGUAAUGCUUAGGAAUCUGCCUAUUAGUGGGGGACAACAUUUCGAAAGGAAUGCUAAUACCGCAUACGUCCUACGGGAGAAAGCAGGGGAUCUUCGGACCUUGCGCUAAUAGAUGAGCCUAAGUCGGAUUAGCUAGUUGGUGGGGUAAGGGCCUACCAAGGCGACGAUCUGUAGCGGGUCUGAGAGGAUGAUCCGCCACACUGGGACUGAGACACGGCCCAGACUCCUACGGGAGGCAGCAGUGGGGAAUAUUGGACAAUGGGCGCAAGCCUGAUCCAGCCAUGCCGCGUGUGUGAAGAAGGCCUUGUGGUUGUAAAGCACUUUAAGCGAGGAGGAGGCUACUUUAGUUAAUACCUAGAGAUAGUGGACGUUACUCACAGAAUAAGCACCGGCUAACUCUGUGCCAGCCGCCGCAGUAAAAC